rnacentral:lncRNA from 1 species
CAAUAUAUAAGCUGUCUGAAAUUUAUUAUUUGAUUUGUCACAUCAGUAACUUACAGAGAAGAAUUUAAAGAGCAAAAAAGCCAACAUGAGUAACUUUAUUUAUAAAGGUGUCACAGUUCUUGGCAAGUAAAUCCAUUCCUAGGUAAACCAUGGCUUCUGGCUUCAAAUUCACAAUUCCUAAGGUCCCCCUUUUUUUACCUGGAUGCUUGAGCAAAAGGAUAUUCGGUUUGGAGGCUAGAGAAGGAAGCAAUGAUGCUGCCUGGGUAUUUCACAGGCAUUUGUAUAAUAAAUGAAAUGAACUUGGAAAGCAUUUAAACACCAGCCACCCAUCAGUGUGAACUAAGUAACAGGUGAAAUCAUAAGGAUGGCACAAUGUGUUUGUCGUUGUAACUUGUUUAAACUAACUUCACUGUUGUGAGGUUUUCACGGUUCUUCUCCGAGGGUCACUUGUCAGCUUGGGAGGAGGUGGAACCUCAGCUCUUCACAGUUCCUGAUGAUACAUAAAGCAAAAAACUGUUUGACUUUCUAAAACCUUUUCAACACAAGCCAAAGCCAAACUACAGACUAGUAACACAUAUUUCUGCCCUAUAUGUGUUACCAAUUUUAACACAUAAAAUUAGAAAUAGGUUUUUUAAAGCCCAUAUUGCAAAACAAAGAAGAAUACGAACAGAUUAUUCACUAAAAAAAUGCAAAACACCAACAAUCAUUUGAAAAGCGUUAAACCUCACAGGUAACCACAGAAGUACAAGUUAAAACAGUGAGAUAAAACUUUCACCUAUUACUCAGAAAAGUUUCUUUUUUUACGUUGCUACUUAGUGCAGACAAGGAUUUCAGGAAAUAUGUACAACCAAUAUUGGCAUAUGCUUUCUGAAAAUUGAUUUAGCAACAUUUACCAACUGUCACAUAAAAGUUAUAUAUGUUGACUAAAUUUCACUUGUAAGAAUUUAUUCCAAGUCAAUAGUGGAAAUGUAGGCAUGUGAGGUUGGAGAUUUCUGUGUUGCUGUUGUCAGUAAAACAAUUAGAAAAACUCUGCAUCUCUAAUAUCAGUAACUGGUUACGUAAAUUCAGCCUAUACCCCUACAAUGUGUUUACUAUGCAGGCAUUGAAAAUAAUGUUAUAUAGUGAAAUAGCAUCAUGAUAAUAGGGACUACAUUACUUUAUAGAAGAUAGACUUACAGAAAAAAGGGGCAGCAAAUUGACACUUAACAAUUUUCUCCUGUUCCAAAGAUAUCCAAUGUUAUAUAAGAAAUAACCAAACAUGGGUAAGGCAGAGGAAAGACCAGCACAUGGAGGGCCAAGCUGUGAGUGAGUUGGGCUUAGGGAUCCAUAAACCCAGAGAUGCAGACGCCCAGCUCAGAUGGAGCAUCACUCCCACAUACAACAGAACCCAGAGAUGCAGAUGCCCCACUCACUCCGAUAGAGAAUCAACCCCAUAUACAACAGGAUCCAGAGAUGCAGACACCCCACUCACUCAGAUAGAGAAUCAACCCCACAUAAAAUAGAACCCAGAGAUGCAGAUGCACCACUCACUCAGAUAGAGAAUCAACCCCACAUAAACUAGAACCCAGAGAUGCAGAUGCCCCAUUCACUCAGAUAAUCAACCCCACAUACAACAGGACCCAGAGAUGCAGAUGCUCCACUCACUCAGAUAGAGAAUCAACUCCACAUACAACAGGACCCAGAGAUGCAAACACCCCACUCACUCAGACAGAGAAUCAACCCCACAUAAACUAGAACCCAGAGAUGCAGAUGCCCCACUCACUCAGAGAAUCAACCCCACAUAAAAUAGAACCCAGAGAUGCAGAUGCACCACUCACUCAGAGCAACAACCCCACAUACAACAGAACCCAGAGAUGCAGAUGCCCCACUCACUCAGAUAGAGAAUCAACCCUACACACAACAGGACCCAGAGAUGCAGAUGCCCCACUCACUCAGAUGCAGCAUCAACCCCACACACAACAGGACACAGAGAUGCAGAUGCCCCACUCACUCAGAUGGAGCAUCAACCCCACACACAACAGGACUCAUGGAGGCAGUCACCCAGCUCACUCAGAUGGAGUGUUAACCCCACGCACACAAAACCCAGAGAUGCGGAUGCCCAGCUCACUCGGAUGGAGUAUUAACCCCAUGUACAACAGAACCCCGAGAUGCAGAUGCUCAGCUCACUGAGAUGGAGCAUCAACCCUACACACAACAGGACCCAUGGAGGCAGAUGCCCAGCUCACUCAGAUGAAGCAUCAACCCCAUGCACAACAGGGCCCAUGGAGGCUGACAUCCAGCUCGCUCAGAUGGAGCAGGAGCUGCUGAAGGGUGUUUUGGCCCAGGACUGGAGCAGAAGGCAGUAGCCCUGAGGCUUACAGAGCAGACCCUAUGGCCACAUGCUUGGACUUAGGCCUCUGCUUGGCUGCCUGAAGGCUGCAGGGAGCUCCUUCUCUGUCCUCAGGUUCCUUUCAGGGCCUGUGCCAGUCAGCGCCUCCCCUGGCAUAGGUCUUGUGCAAUUUCUAAUGACAGCAUGAUUCGGAGACUAUAAUAGCUACACCUUCCCCCAAAGCGAGGAAAGAUCUAACUGUACAGGCCGCUGUGAAACUGGAACAUCGGAGGAAGAGGAGCUAGAAAGCUUACCAGGCCGAUGAGGAUGCUUGCUGUCAACU